UUUAUGUAGCUUACCAAUUCUAAGAAGACAAAUAACUAAUAGAAUAUAAAGUGUCACCUUUGCAGUAUUCAUUAAUGUCUUAAAUGGAGCUGGGACUUUUAUCAAUGGCAUAUUAUGUCUUGGUUUAUAUUUGCGAGCCUGCAAACAUCUUGAAUAAUGUUUAAGUCUAUUACUAUAGCAUGAUCUUGAUGAUAUGUUAAAGAUACUUUUGACAGAUUAAAUUAAAUAUAUAGACUUACUAAGCAUGUACAGGGUUUUUGAUCUUCAAAUAAGGAAUACAUUUUUUUCUCAAGUGCUGUACACUAAAUGUAUGAUGUGAUUUCUAAGCAAAUUUUAUUUCAGAUAAGAAGCUUGUAAGAAAGAUAAAAAUAGUUUUAUGUAAAAACUAUAAGUUUUUACUAGUAGUUGGAUGAAAGGUGAAUUUAGGCUAUACAAACAUCUGUAGCCUGAGUUUAUGGUUCCUCUAACUAUUUAUUAGAGGCAAAUACAUAAUGUAAUUUGACCUCUGGAUGUAAGGAGAUUAAGUUUGAAUUCUACUAUCAGUGUGGUUAUUUGAAAUUGAACCAUCAUUUUUAUAUAGUCUUAAGUAUCAAACGUGACUUUGCAUGGGUUAUGUAAUAUAACUGUCCUCAUUGUCUUGAGAUCAAAAGUACAGACAUACACUCUUGACAGACUAGAAAAAUUACCAUAUUUUUGUAGAGCGGUUGUAAUACAAAUCUAACUAUCUUGAUUUCUUUUGUUCUGUCCUUAUCUGCACACACUGUAGAUGUUUUCUGAACACUAUAGUCCUGGUUUUUCUGUUUUUGGCCAUUCCAGGUGGCUUCUACCUAGGAGAGCACAUCUUUAGGCCAAGAGAGCUGGGUGUAUGCCCAGUGUUGGCAGCCUACCUGGCUUAAACACAAAUAGUUUAACCAAGCGAUUCUUGCAAACCUAACCAUUUAAGUUGAUCACUUAGAGAACCUAGCCAUUUAGAUGAUUUGAAUGAAGAUGCAAUUUCUGUGUGGUUUAUGAAUAAAAUUAUAUCAUUAUCAUUACCAUUAGUAACAAUUCUUGGUUUCAACUGUGUAGAAGAUAAUUUGGCAAAUUACAAAGGAAAUGGAAGAAGUUCAAGGUAAGGUUGAGACGGAACUAGCAUUACAAUGUUUUACAACACAAACAAACACACUCUGUAAUCAUCUAUAUAGCCAAUUAAAGCUUUAAAAAUGUGUUCACACACACAGAGCUAAGGGAAUUAAGGAUGUGUCCUUGGAGAGAUCAGGUGGCAUUUGCUUGGAAAGGCAUCACCAAGUAGAGGAACACUCAGUUCUCAAGUACUGAAGGAUACUGACUUUUCCUGCGCUAACUCUUUUAUACUUAGAAUCCUGUGCUUGGAAAGGAUGGAGCAAACCCAUAGCUCAGUGCUCAUAUUUCAACACUGGCAUGAAGAUCCAAGAAUUAUAGGAUGUCACUUAUUUAUACACAGAUUAAAAUUAGGGCUAUGGUGGGUGCUAAAAAAUUCUUCUAUAUGUGUUUCUAAGGCUGUAUUAUAAUCUAAGGUGACUAAAACCUUACCCACAUUAACUAUUCUAAAUAUCCUAUGUUGCCUGCCUCAUGCCAACAGCCUCUCUCCAGCUGUUAGUACAGGUAGCAAUCUGUUAUAGAACAGUAGGGUCACCUAAGGACCUGCAGCCUUGGGGCAGAUUCAUCCUUGCCCAAGGCUCAGUGAUUCUGGCUCGCAAUGACCCUCAAGUCUGUCAUGUCAGCUGCUUACUUGACAUCCUACUUACUACCUCUUGUCAGUUUAGGGCCUUCAAGACAUAGAUGCCAAAAUGGGGCUAAGCAUGUAAGGGAUUUACUGGGGGAAAUGUUUGUGGAGGAUAAGGAAGAAAACAGAAGUAGGCAAGGGGAGCCUUCAGAGCCCAAUGUGGGUCCAGUGCCCGUAAGAGGAGAGAGAGGACAGAUUGGGUGGGAAGAGUCUCCAGUUGCAACACAAUUCUGAGACAGUCUCAGGUGGGCUGAUGAAAAUCCCUGAGCAGGAGUUGCCCACUAGAGGAGUGUCCUAUAUGGAACAGGAACCGGCUGGCUUGAGUAGGCAGCCCCAGGAGGAACAUGGUCUCCCAGGAGCCACAGGUGCAGCAGUGGGCAGUGUUGGGCAACUCUGCUCCUUGUGGCAGGUUCCCUUAAUCUGAGUGGCACACCCAGAGUAAUAUGUAUUUAAAAUAAUUUUCCUUUACAGGUUUGCCCUUCCACCUAUAUUUUCGAUCUCAGUCAAUGGCAACAUCACGCCCCAGGCUACCCAGAAACCUGGAAUCAUCCUGAUUUUCUCCCUUUCCUUCACACCCUUCAUCAUUACAUCUCAUUGACUUUACAUUCCUGAUACAUUGCCCUACCCCUUGUUCCAUUUCCACCAUCACUUGCCUUGAUUCAGGUCUUCAUUAUCUCUGCUCCUGACUGCUGUUAGCCACCUUCUAAUUGGCUGUCUCACUCCGGGCCAACUCCCUUUCUUUACCCUCACUAGUUCUUUUUCCAUACUGUAACCUGCACUGCAUGAUCUUUUAAAAAUCCAAAUCUUGUCACAUUUGUCUUCUGCUUAAAAUUCUUCAGUGCCUCAUUAUUUCUUAUAGGAUAAAAUCAAGGCUACUUAGUAUGGUGUAAUGUGUUUUACCUUGUGCUACUACUAUCCUCAUUUAUCCUGUAUUCUGGUUCUCAGGAUUUCCAAAGUUGGUCAGGAGACUUUUUGCCAGUGGGCUUUUGCACAUGUCAUUUCCUGUGUAUGACAGGUCUUCCCUUCUCCUAUUUGACAAACUCAUAAUUAGGAAGGCUCAGAUAAUUCUUUCCUGAGCUCUCUGAGAGGUAGAACUUCCUAUUUUUGAGUUGCCUACUGAAGCCUCUGUUAUAGCACUUUUACUGAACCUCUGUUAUAUAGCACUUGGUCUGCCUUCAUAGUGCCCAGGUACUUAAUAAAUGAGUGAAUGAAUGAAUGAAUUAGCUAUAACAUAACCCUAUUGGCUGACUUAAAUUUGCUCAUUAGCGAUGAUGUUGUAUUUCUGAUCAUCAGUCAGUUGACUCCCUUCAGGACCUAAUAUAAUGUUCUAUUCAAGGUAUCACAUUAAAAAUUUUCAGGAGCAUCUUCAUGAAUCUUUGCAGAAUUGGAUUAAUGGGUAAUAUGGUUUUUAUAAACAGUAUUGCAUUAAUAUAUAUGGAAAUUUGUGUAAUUCUACCACUGUUUUAAGAAACCUAUCAAACUACAGUCUGAGGCAAUAUAUUUAAUAUACUAGUUGGAGUACUACAGCACAUAUAAUUACUAAUGUGAGAAUAACUUAUUAACACAUUUUAAACAUUUUACAAGUAACAUGAAUAAUUUUCUUCCAGAUAAGACUAAUAAAUUUUCUACAUGUUGAAUAAAAAUAACUCUUGAAUAUACCAGUCUACUUCAGAUGUCUUCAAAAUUCAGAUUUGAAUGUCAAGUUUGAAUGUCAUUUGUUGCCCCUAGGGGAGGCAUACCACCACUUCGAAAGCACACAAGUUCAUACUUGGCUCCUUGACCCAAGGCCUUCAUUUAGACUCUUGUCAUUUUUCAUCUAGAUUGUUCCAAUAAUCUUCUAAUUAGCUUGUAAGGUCACCAGUUCUUCAGCUACUGCUGUCAGAUGUAGUUCUUAAAUAUCAAAUCUGAUCAUGUCAAUUCCUGUUCUAAUAAUCUUUAUUAGCUCCUCCUCACCUUAUAGAACAAAGGUCAAUGUUGCACAUAAAUUUAAUUCCAACCUACUUCUUCAGGCUUAUUUUCUAUAGUUCCCCUGCGUGCACCUUGUGUAAUGCUGAUUAUAAUCCCUAAAGACACAAUCCCAAAUGCAUGAUCCUGAAUGUUGAAAUCUCCAAAGAACAAACUCCCUUACAUCUAACUGAAUUUCCAAACCAUAAUGAUAGAUUUGGAAUUAGGUGCCAUCAAAACUUCUAAAGGUGGAUUUCAAGGUGUUACCAACAGUUUCCUUUUCCAUUCAGCUCAAUACAUUUGCCGGAAAAGUCAGAUGAAUGGAUUGCCUGUAGAAUAUAGUAACAUGGAAAACUUCAGUUUAUAAUGCAUUAUUUGUCUGCAUUGGCAUUCCUUCUAGCUGAUGAAAUUCUAGGAGCUCUUCAUGAGUUAAAGCUGAAUUUGCCUGAUGAAGCCAGCAAAGUUACUGACUCUAAAAUAACUAUGUGCACGGUAGGAUAAGAAGGCACCCAAUGAUGUUGCUGUUCGAUCACCAAUAUUGUUUCAGCCAAAUCUGUGGUCUGUAUAUGAGUACAUGAGCAAAGGAUUUCCGUGUGCCCAAAACAACAUAGAAGCAUGACACAGAAGAUAGGAAAUUUAAUAGGAAAUGCUCAUGUGAGUGUAUAUUGAAUCAAACUAGAAUUUCAAAAAGAGCAGCAUCAUGUAGAAAAUCAGUGUGAAUGUAUUCUUCAAGAAGAGCCAUGUCCUAAAAGAAAAGAAACAGUUACUCAUCUCCAUGCAAGACUUCAGAAUAGAGUUAAUUAUUAUGGAAGUCGGCCAGCUCUUAUGGGCUACCUCCGUGCAGUUACCCAUAAUUUAUCCCUGUAAUACACUUUUUCAUAUGUUGAAUUUUCUUUUUAGUUUCUUUGGGAAGGUUUUGUUUUUCUUUUUCCUUUUUUAAAGUUUUUUUCCUCACCAUUUUAAAUCAUCAGCAUUAUUUUUUACAAUUCACUAUGGUAUGCUACAUGUUUCAUCUUUACACUUCCAAAUCUAGAGGUAUAAAUUGUAUGAGCUUUUAGAGAGUUCUAAUUUGUUUUAUGCACUUUUUUUUUUGCAAAUUUGACUCCAUGGAAGCACAUUUUAAUAACACUGACUUUGUGUGUAAGCAUUGUGUAUAUAUAUGUAAAAACCUUAAAACUUCCUCAAUGAAUAAAGGGAUGUCCUUUUUCUGCAUGUGCAUUUGUGAAAGAUAACAUUUUUCAAGAUCUCAGCUCUUUAGGCAACUGUAUAUGUGGUGGUGACUCAUUGUUGGUAUUUAAUUUUAAUUUUUUUAGCAAGGGGUGUCUCACUAUGUUGCCCAGGCUGGGCUCUAACCAUCCUUCCACCUCAGCUUCCUGAGUAGCGGGGACUACAGGCAUGAGCCACUGCAUCCAGCUCCACUGUAGGUUUGGAUCAGUUUCAUCAAAAGACUUAGGUUGUUCAUCAGGAUAUUUCAAGUGACCAAACUAUAUAAGUGAUUUCUUUAUGAACACAAUUUUUCUACUCAUAACUGUUAUGCCCGUGUAACUGUGGGUAGCACACCUGAGUGCUUAUCAUUGCAAAAUUAUGUAUAUUAUUAUUGCCAAUUUUAUUGUAUAAAGUAGCCCACAAAGUGUUCUGUUGUGUUUUUAUGUUUCUAAACUCUUUUAAAAAUGUAAAUAUGUUUUAAAGAACUUUUAGAAUUAUUUUUAUCAGAAUUAUGUAUUUGGGGUUUUGAUCUUUCAGGAUUCAACACUGGGGAUUAUGGCGUCAGAAACUGUGUCUUUUGGGAUUCUGGCCCAAACCCCUAGCCUUGUACCCUCGCUCCAUAGAUCUUCUAACAGCUCCUGGGCUUACAUAUCUCAUCUUUUAUGAUACUUCUCCUGAUUCAACCAACCAGUGGUGCUUCCCAUAGCAUUUUAGAAAGACCUGUUUUAUAGCAUUUAUCAAGGUAUUGACAUUUGUUUAGUUGUCUGCCCCUUCCGUGAUCCCAGUAGCAAACUUGUAGUACAACUAAUUUAGGUUCUUUGUUUUUCCACUUGCAUCCUAAGCAAUCUCAAUAAAAGAUGCAUUUUCUUUCUUUUGUAAAGACAAAAUGUAGCAUUGUUUGGUUUACUUGAUUAGAGUUACAACCUCCGUACAUUCUUGAAACUAAGAAGACCAGCAGUCAGAGAAUAUUUGUAGAAUCUUCUCAAGAAUUGGUUUCAACAUAAGGGUCCAAGACCUUGGCAUUGCUAAGAUUUUCAGAAUUCUGUCUUUUAAGUUAAGCCUGUGACUAUUUACUAAUUUGAAAAUAUCUUUAACUUCUUUUUUUUAAUCUGUAGGCAUUUCUAAGAAGCACAUGACAUUCAUCUUUGAAUAGAAGAUUCAUUUGAAUGACAGUUUCUUUCAUUUAGUAGAGGGGAUUUUACUUUAAAUUUUGCUGACAGGUUUUCAUGACAGCCCUCAAAUGGAAGCUUGAAUUCACUUGUCAUAGCUAUUAAAGAGUUGUUUUUUUGUUUUUGUUUUUGUUUUUUUUUGGUGGGGGAUGCAUUUCCGUGAUCUGGUCCUUCCACUUAUUAUUGCUAUUAUUGACCUUAAAGGUAUAGAAGAGAAGAAUAUAGACAAAGCCUCUAUUUUUGAAGGCUUGCUGAAGGCCAGCAUUGAAGUUAAUUCACUGUUGAAUUUUCCUCUUAAAAUUCAUCAUCAUAAUGUGGCAGAAUCUUGCUACUUUUCACUUUAUACUUGAAACCCCUUUAAUUCUCAGGAGAACAAGAGCAUCUGGUAGAUUGUAUUCACUAUCAGCAAAGACUGAAUAGCAGGAAAAUGGUGUUAAGACUUUUUUUGUAUCAAAAGCAUUAAAAUAGAUAAGCCCAAGAUAGCAACAUAAUUGUAAUACUCUGUCUUGACUGUGUUUUAUUUACAAUCUAUUUUAAUAUUUGUGUUUUUUUUUUUUUUUUUUUUUUUUUUUUUGAGACAGAGUCUCGCUCUGUCGCCCAGGCUGGAGUGCAGUGGCGCAAUCUUGGCUCACUGCAAGCUCCGCCUCCCGGGUUCACGCCAUUCUCCUGCCUCAGCCUUUCUGAGUAGCUGGGACUACAGGCGCCCGCCACCACGCCCGGCUAAUUUUUUUGUAUUUUUAGUAGAGACGGGGUUUCACCGUGGUCUCGAUCUCCUGACCUCGUGAUCCACCCACCUUGGCCUCCCAAAGUGCUAGGAUUAGAGGCGUGAGCCACCGCGCCCAGCCAAUAUUUGUGUUUUAAUAUUAAAUUCACCAAUAAAAUAGUGUUCUAAAACUAUAGUAGAUAGCUUUUAUCUGAAGAUACAGUUAUCAGAGUUUUCUGCUUUUCAUAUAGGGAAGUCGAUGUACAGAAUCUUGUAUAAUAUUAUCUGGUUUUUGUUAUUUUCCUGGGGGCUAAGUGCUAGAUAAUGAGGAAAGAAUAUAUGUGGAAAAAUUAUUCUUGAGAAAUAUAUAUUAAAAUUCCAUUGUAUGACAAUGCUAUUAAUUUUUGUAGGAAUUGCUCUUCAAAUCUUAAAAACCAGAGUAUCUACUAAUUCACCAGUCUUCUCAAUAUUUGGCUCAUAUUCAACAACUAAAUAAGCAUGCAGUUUAAGGGGCAUGUUCUUUGUAAAUUAUUUGGAGCAUAGAUUUUUUCCUUUUUAUUACAACAAGGCUGCUGUAGGGAUGCCUUUAUAAUAGGGCAGCUCUUUCCAUUACAUUCUAAUUUGGAGAUUCUUAUUAUCAACCUUGAAAUGGGUGGUGUUAUUGUUAGAGCUUAAUAUUAAACAUGUCUUGAUUUACAUACAUAAUUACCAUUAAAACUAUCACCUCAAGGCCGGGUGCAGUGGCUCACGUCUGUAAUCCCAGGACUUUGGGAGGCUGAGGUGGGUGAAUCAAUUGAGCUCAGGAGUUGGAGACCAGCCUGGGCAACAUGGUGAAACCCCGUCUCUACGAAAAAAAUAACAAAAAUUAGCCAGGCGUGGUGGCGCAUGGCUGUAGACCCAGCCACUCAGGAGGCUGAGUCACGAGAAUUGCUUGAACCCAGGAGGCGGAGGUUGCAGUGAGCCGGGAUUGCGCCACUGCACUUCAGCCUGGGUGACAGAACCAGACUCUGUCAAAACAAAACAAAACAAACAAGAAAGACAAAACCCUCAAAAAACAAAACAACAACAAAAAAACCAAAAAAACUAUUACCUCAAAAUCUUUAAAUAGAAGUUCACACUGGAAAACAGCAACCAAUGUUUUAAGAUGGAAAUAAUUGUGUGUUUAUGUGUAUAUGUUUGCUUUUAAAAUUUUACACUUUUAGACAAAUUAUUUUUUUCCUUGUCAUAAAGAAAUUGCAUUUUAAUCGUCAUUCUUCUAAAAGAAUUUUUUAUGAUUUUAUCAGCAUGAUACUUACAAAGAGCAUAUCCCCCUUUAGACAAAUUAUUUUAGGCAGCCAAGUUUAGUUUAUUUGGGUUUCAUGCUAUAAAUUAUGCUAAUUUAUGAAGGUUACUUCUUGUUGGAUGCUUGUAUUAUUCAUAUAAUAUUUAAAUGCAAAAGAGAAUAUUAAUAUAAAGCAUUAUCAAUUAAAUUUUAUUCAACCAGAUGUUUUCUGUGAUACAUGAUCAUCUUAGGUGUAUAACUAAUUUUGCAUUACCAUUUAUGAGUGAUAUAGUUGUGUUCUUUUUAAAGUGUAUAUGCAAUUAGUAGUGGUUAUAUUCAUUUCAUGAAAUCUCUUUGAAGGUCGUUUGUUUUAGGAGUAUAAGUAAUUUUCAUUAUAAUAUAUUCAUAUAUUUUUAAAUCUCAUUUCCAUAUGAAGGUAAAGAUGGGGUCAUUCUUAGAAUGAAAUAACUCCUUUUCAGAAGGACACAGUCAAAAGCUAGGAAUUCAUUUGUUAUCCCUCUGCAGUUGUUAGGACAGGAACACUAAUCUGGCCAACUUACCUUUAAAAGAGCAUACAAAGUCAAAGAUGUCGGGUUGUACCAGUAAAUAUUCACCAGCAAAGUUUUUAUAUCAAAGACUGGAACUUUCGAAGAUGCUCCUGGGACUUAGUGUACUCUAACAUCUAUUAAUUCCUGAUACCUUAAGUGACUUGUCAUAGAAGUGCUACAUUUACAAGUAGUAUACAAGGAGGCCCAAGAGAACAAAUUCAGUUAAAGGCCAAGGAAGCAAUUAACGUUCUCUACUUUUCCCUAAAGAACUUCCAUAGCAAAUGUUGCCCUCCCCCUGCACCCCCAAUCUUAGCAAGGCAAGUGCAUAUAGUGAAAUGGAAGUUAAAGUUCAAAUAAAACAUGUUUCCAAUAUUAUUUGGUUCUUAGAGCUCUUCCUGAAUGUGAAUGCAUACAGUUGUUUAAGGUGAAGUACAGUGAAAAAUAUUAGAAGAGAUGGCUCUUGCUGAAAAAUACCAAAUUUCUAUUUCUUUGUUUCCCCUGCAUCUCUGUCAAGGGUCAGUGUUUGCAGUAGUGGUAGAAGUGGGUGGUAGGCUGGGUCCUUCCUGUGUAUAUGGUUAAAUUGGAGUGCUUUUGAGGAGCACAUGAUUCUGUUUGUAUUUUAAGCAGGACACACACACACACACACAGACACACACACACGCAUGCACCCCAACCUUCUAUUUUCUAGUCCUUCAAAUUUUGAAAACUCUUGUGUUCACUCAGGUCUUUUCUUCUUUUUGAUGAACAUGUUGAACUCCCCGAAACUGUCCUUAUAAGGCCAAGUUUCAAGAUUUCUCACCUCCCAGUUGCUACAGUUUCUAAGUGUCCCUCUAAAGUGGGCCUUCCCUAAUUGGAUGUACAAGUAUAAUCUGACUGGUGUAAAAUAAAGCCUCUACCUCCCUGAUUUUGGAAAUUAUAUUUUUAAUGUGGGCUAGGUGCACUGAUUUUUUGAUGGUCAUAUUAAACUUUUGACUUAUAUUGAGCUUGUGGCCAAAUAAAUGUAUCUGUCUGUCCCCACCCCCUACACAGUGCUGCUAAACUCAGGCUGAAUAUGGUCUUUAGACUUAUCUUUAUUAAAUUUCACAUUGUUAAGACCAAUCCAUUGUUAUAACUGAAGACAUUUUCCUUCACAUUUAGUUUUCUGUUAUACUUGUUGUCCCCAUCACGUUUAUAUAUUCUGAAAAUUUUAUUAUACUUGUAAUGUCAUCAGUUAGUCAAACCAUUGACAAAACUGUUCAUCAAGGCAAAGCUGAGAACACACCAUUUAUUAGAAAUGUCUAUCCAGGUGGGCACCAAAGCCAAGAGCCUUGGGAGUACUGUGGAAAAGCACUUUCAUCCAAUCCAACAAUUCUUCAUAGGGAUGCCAUGAGAUACCACAUGUUUGUGUCUAUGGAUUUCCAAUUUUUCCAAGGGCAGGGACCAUGUCUAUUUGGCUAGCUACUAUACUCAUCACUCAGCACCGUGCCUGGGACACAGAACAACUAGAAUUGCACUGGGACGCCAAUAUGAAGAGAGACCAGAGAAGACUAUGAUGACAAGCAGGUGGUCACAGAGAUCGUGGCAAGAUGUUUUAUUCCGACUCUGAUAACAACUACUUCCUGGGAAAGUUUUCAUUUUAUUGGUCAUGAGAUUCGAAUUACUGAGGCCAUGGAUUGUUAUGGUGCUGUUGUUUGGCCAUCGGUAUAAUUUCAUACAGAAUUUGUUACAUUCCAAUUAUUUUUCCAGUCAGUUUUGUUCAUUAUUAUGUUCUAUUUGGAAGAAGAAAACAGAUUCCAUAUUCCUUCUUUGUGACCUCAAAUAGUACUAUGUUUUAGAAAUUGUGUGACUGGGAAAUUAUGUCUCCCAAUUAAUUCUGUAAUUCUAUUUCUUUCUUUUUUUUUUUUUUUUGAGACAGAGUCUUGCUCUGUCACCUAGGCUGGAGUGCUGGGCUUGAUCUCAGCUCACUGCAACCUCUGCCUCCUGGGUUUAAACGAUUCUCCUGCUGCAGCCUCCUGAGUAGCUUGACUACAGGCGUGCACCACCACGCCAAGCUAAUUUUUGUAAUUUUAGUAGGAAUGGGGUUUCACCAUGUUGGCCAGGCUGGUUUUGAACUCCUUGCCUCAAGUGAUCCAUCCACCUCUGCCUCCCAAGGUGCUGGGAUUACAGGCAUAAGCUACCACGCUGGGCCUCAAUUAAUUCUAUUUCUGACUUUCUUGAAAUUUGUAGGAUUAAUACAGGAUGUUGUUUACUUCUUCAGUUUUUAAAAUAAGAGUUUAGAGCAGUAAACUUUUUUAUUUCCCCUUUUAUUAGCUCCAUUUGAGUUAAACGAUUACAAUGAAAUCUAUAUGAGUCUCACAUGUAGAAUGUCCUCAAAGACCCUCAAUCCUUUACCAACUGUCCCAUGAAGAGUAGUGGACCCACCACCCCACCUGCCCCAAUCGCACACACCACUUGGAAAUGACUAGUAUUAUCAGAAGUUGCUUCCUUUAAAAAUGAUCAAACCUAAGCGAUUGAACUCCACAUUUUUAGUUAUUUCUCUUUCCCUCUCAAUAAUCCCCAAGGAAUUUUUCUAGCAGAAAUGUUGAACCUCUCAGAGGAUGCACUUUGGUUGAUAUUUUUUGGAGUGAUGUACAGGUACACACAUGGGUACUCUCACGUACUCAUGUGCACGCAUACAUAUCAUAUUAUUAGCAGCAUAUUUAUCCAAUAAAGUUUAAUUUUACUUUCUGUUAUUACUUGCCAAGUAUCCCUUUUUUCUUUUUUCUAACUUUCAUAGGCCCUUGUUCUAUGCUAUUUCCUGGAAACAAAUGCAAAGCAGUAUAAUAUGGUUGACAAAAACGUGAUUGAAAUUGGAGCUGGAACAGGGCUAGUCUCCAUUGUGGCAAGUUUACUUGGUAAGCAGAUAUUUUUGAUUGAAUAGAGGGAGUGUCAGAGAAUUUAAUGAUCAAAUAUUAGUUGUUUUACUAUCCAGUGUACUAUGACCUGCGCCUAUCUGUGACUCCUUAACUGUUUGAAUGGCCUUCAUCUAGAAACUACAGAUUUUAAAGUCUCCUUACCAGUUUCUUUCAUAGUUUUCUGCAUUAAGUUGUGUUAAUUCCGGUCUCUUUCAUAGUUUUCUGCAUUAAGUUGUGUUAAUUCUUCUUGUGGAAUACUGUGACAAGCCUCAGAUGAAGUGUUCUAAAUAAGAGGUGCACGGAAGCAUUCUGGUUGCAAGAGGAGAAAUGUGAAAUACCAGGCAGAGGCAGAUUCUAUUGCUGCUGAUUCAGAUGCACUUUAGAUUUUAGCGCCAUUUCAGUGUUCCCAUGUAGCUGUAGAUUCCUUUUGAGUUUUGAAGUGCUAUGCUUUUAUGAAAAAGCACGUGUCAGAAUAGGGAGAUAAUAUUAGAAAUCACAUAAAAAUCACACGUCUGCUUCUAUUUUCAGGUGUUUGUCCUUGAAUUUGUUUUCUCAGUUCAUUCAAUUCUUUUUUUUUCCCUCUGUCGCCCAGGCUGGAGUGCAGUGGCGCGAUCUCCGCUCACUUAAACCUCUGCCUCCUGGGUUCAAGCAGUUUUCCUGCCUCAGCCUCCCCGAGUAGCUGGGACUACAGACAUGCACCACCAUGCCCAGCUAAUUUUUUGUAUUUUUAGUAGAGACAAGGUUUCGCCAUGUUGGCUAGGCUGGUUUCGAACCCCUGACCACAGGUGAUCCGCCCACCUGGGCCUCCCAAAGUGCUGGGAUUACAGGCGUGAGCCACUGCGCCUGGCCUAUCUCCAUUCUUUUUUAUUGUGACCCUGAGUUCUCUCACCAGCAUCUUUUCCAACUGAGCAUGUGAUAGUUUUUAAUGUAUGCCUGAGCCUGUUUCAGUUCAGUCUUUUUGUUAUUGUUAUGUAUCUCAUUGCCUUAGUUUAGCUCCUUCUCUGAUGUGUGCUACCCAGAUCCAUCCUGAUUUCCUUGAUCUUCAGAAGUGCACGCCUGCCACUCUAAAAUCUUGAGAGGAAUUGAACAUUUAGCAAUUUAUGACUUUCAAAUACUAGAGAUUUAUAAGACUCUUGGAGUCUUCCCAAAUAUAUUUUUUAGAAGUUGCUGUGUCCUGAUAUUGUUUUCCAAAGUCACUAUUCCAUUUAGUAAGGAUAAGUCAGAGUCACUAUUCGAUUUAUACCUGAAAGCCUUACUUAGGAGCAGAAUUUGUGCUUUGGGGAGUCAUUUGUUUUUUUAAAAAGAAUUGGUCCCUUGAGUCCGCUUGUCUAACUUGAAACAAAUAUUAAAAUAUAGAAACUUUGUUUAGUCAGUAUUCUGAAAGUGGCAGUGUUUAUCUCUCUAGGCACAAAGAUAUUAAGUAUAAGGGAGAGUUUACAUUCAAUAUGGGCAAAGGUAUAUUCCUUACUCUGAGAUUUAAGAAAGAUUUGUUGAAAAUGAUAGACCCACCCAUAGUAGAAUGUAAAGGCUUAUAUCUCUGUGAGUGUACCAAUAUGAUAGGCAUAUUCCCCUCCCAUUUUAAUAUUUUCACAAAAUACAAUUGAUGCCAAGAGACUUGUGAUAUUGCAGCUGAGGAGUGGCUUCUGAUUUGGUCUGAGCUGAACUAGACUUCUCUUCCAUUUCUGCUUUCUUGUUCUUUACCUGGUCUGUGCUUUUCUGAUGCUGUAGAAUUGGACAAUCUUAGAUUAUUUGCAGAUUAUUUUUAGCCUUUGCUACUGCUCAAAGUUUACUUUAGUGACCAAAUUUCUACAAAUUUGCUUCUGCCGUAUUUCUUCCUCAAAAACCCAUCACUAUUCACUUCUAUCUGGAAAUUGUUUACAUCUUCAUCUAUGAGUGGUAGCUUUAUGAGCACUAUACACACGUUGUGACUAGGUUUUUAGCAUGUUUUGGUGGGAAGAUUUACACUUGUGAUGGGCCAAGUUGAAAACCUGGGCAUAGCAUGGAUGUCAUAAUACUUUUCAGUGAAUGCCAUUGAAAGGUCUUCUUUCUUCCCUCCACUUCUCACAUGAGCACUUCCUGUUCAACUAUAGGAUGUCUGAUGUUACAUACACUCAUUUGGUCUCACAUGACUGAGGCUCAGAAUUCUUUUAGGGAGGUACCUAUUCUUCCAUCAAUGACUUCUCAUUGGUCCAAUGAGGGUGCCAAAUAUUUUGACUUUCUCUUUCUCUCGAUUAUUUUUCUCCUGGUAUGUAGUAGAUAAAUAGCAAACAAAAGCAAUAGUAACAGCAAAACAUACCAGAACAAAAACCAGGAGAACAUAAAAAAUGCAAUGGUGCGCAAAAGUACCAUGGGUCUCUCUCUCUCUCUCUUUUUUUUUUCUUUAAGCAGAGGCAUAUAGCUGCUCUGCAUCCAUUUGAAUGGGAUUCCCUUUUUGUGUAGAGGUACUGAUGAGUGUUUUUUUAGGGGUGGAUGAAGAACUGUGCAGAAUUGCAAAGUGCAUGUUGGCUUGAAACUUUUGAUUGUUCUACCUUAUCUCAUGAGGGUUACUUUCUCUACUAUCCUUUGCUUCACAGGUGCUCACGUGACGGCCACAGAUUUACCCGAAUUACUUGGAAACCUGCAAUAUAAUAUUUCCCGAAACACCAAAAUGAAAAGCAAGCAUUUGCCUCAGUCUUUACUUACAUAAAGUCAUUUAAUCCUCACUACCUUUCUAAGAGGUGGAAACUAUGCUAUCCCUACUUCACGGAUAAAGAAACUGAGGCUGAGAUGUCCCCUGGCUACACAUCUGCAGAGUGGCAGUCAGGACAUUCAAGUCCAGGCCAGCACGGUAGCUCGCGUCUGUAAUCCCAGCAAUCUAGGAGGCCAACGUGGGAGGAUCACCUGAGCCGAGGAGCUUCAAGACCAGCCUGGGCAACACAGUGAGACCCUGUCUUUACAAAAAAAUUUAAAUAUUAGCUGCAUGUGGUGGUGCAUGCCUGUAGUCCCAACUACUUUGGAGGCUGAGGUGGGAGGAUGGCUUGAGCUCAGGAGGUCGAGGCAGCAGUGAACUGUGAUCAUGCCACUGCAUAGCAGCCUGGGCAACAGAAUAGGACUCUGUCUCAAAAAAAAAAAAAAAAAAGAAAAAAAAGAAAAAAAGUAAAAAACAGGAAUGUUUAAAAGCCUUCUUGACUUUCCUCUGUUUACAUUUGUAACAUAAACAUUGUUAAUACUCAUUUUAUCGUUAAUUUCCUGAGAUUCUGAGAGAAAAUACAAAGUAAGGACAUAGAAUAAAACCUUUGCCAGAUCUAGUUAGGAAGUAGUAAACAUUUUACUGUCUAGUUUUGAUACAGAUUAAAAACCAAAUGAAACAGCUUUUUGUGCAAAACCGUAUUUAAGCUGCUUAUAACUUUUAAAAAAUACUUUCUCCUUUUGGAAUUGAGUAAAACUCCUGCACAGUAGGGUAUUUGUUAACUUCAGUGUAAAAUUGAAAAAUUUACCUGGUUUUGAGUAUUUAAAAUGCCUGAGGGAAAGCCUGGGAAGAUGUGGUUUUCAGGUGCAUUUUGCAGUGGGGAAGUGACUACUAGCAUAGCUAUGUCCAUCCAUCUGUCCAUGCGGUUGAAAGGUGUGCUCUGGGUGCCAAAGGCAAAAUGAAUAAUGUACAGGCCUGGAUCCCCGAGGCCUGCGGCAGAGGAGGCAAAUAUCUGCAAGGCCAAGGCGGAGGGAGGGGCCGCUGCUGGCUCAGACCUGCCAUCUCACAUUCCCGUGAAAUGUGUUUCACCUUUCUAUCAUUGUUCAUUGUCUCUGGACCUUGAGUAGUUGCACAGGUUUCUGAGUCAAACUUUAAUAAGAAAACCAAAUGCACACUCUCGUUCUUAGGUGAGAUAAAAUCAAGAUUGCAUUUAAAACCUGGAAGUUAGGAGUGAAUGAAUGUGGAGCUUUAUCACUGAAAUGAUUUUUCAUCCUUAAUUCCAAGGUAGCCUUUGCUUUCUCAUUCACCAAAGGCACCGAAAACACAAACUAGACCUCUGAGAAAUGAUAAUAUUUUAAGGUCAUAGUUUCCUUGAUCUCUGCGAGGCUCCUCUGUAUUAAAGUAUUUUUUGCUAUUUUCUGACACAGCUCGGAAACAUGCCAUUUGUUCCUACCUUUAAGUAUAUAAUAGUUCAACAUAGUGAUGACAAUUUUGAGACUAUUUUGAUGGCCAAGUGUCUCUUUUCUGGAGUUAAAAGUAGAGGUUCUAGUCUUUCAAGAAACAUUUCAACCACUCAGUUGUCCUGGCUGAAAACACCUCCAUUAUUAUCAAGUCCAUUUUUCCUUUUAGCUUUUGAAUUAUUUCAUCAUCAAGGGUUAUCAAUUUUACCUCCUAAACUUUGCCCUUAAAAUAGCUAUCAAACAGUCUCCUGACUUUAUUUUUCUUCUGCUCCAACCCAUUCUCACAGUGUUAUUAAAAAUAUUAUAUAUAUACACAUAUAUUUAAUUGACAAAGUAUAUGUUUAUCGUGUAUAGCAUGUUUUUGAAAUAUGUAUACUUGUGAAACAGCUAAAUCAAGAUAACUAACAUACUCAUUCCCGCACAUACUUAUCAAGUUAUUGUGAUGAGAACACUUAAAAUCUACUAUCUCAGCAAUUUUCAAGGAUACAAUACGCUAUUAGCUACAGUCACCAUGUUGUACAAUAGAUCUCUUGAACUUAUUUCUCCUAUCUAACUGAAAUUUUUCAUCCCUUGACCAACAACUUCCAUACACUGUCUUUUUAAUUUUUUUUAAGUCUUUUAGUAUCAUUUGGAAACAUUCAUUUAGGCAAAGCUUCCAGAAGCACGCUCAAGGACUGAAUGGGGAAUGAAAGGGACACUGCUUUGUGGUUAAUUACAUUGUCUUCCUAGACAAUCUGAUCUUGUCACUGUCCUGGUUAAAACUUGUUUGUGGUACCCUGUUGCCUUAGGUUAGAGUCCAGACCUAUAUUCUAGGUAGAACACAGGCCCCUGGCCAAAUGAUCACAGGCCAAGCUCUCUUAGUCUCCAUCCUUUUUCUUUUCUUUUCCUUCCACCCCCUCUACCUCCUUUCUUCUCCACCCCAUCCCAUUUCCCUAUCAACCUGAUGCUCAGUGACUUCCUCUCCCUCAAACCCAUUCUUCAUCACAGCCAUUCUCUGCUUUGCCAUUGCUCUCUGAGCCUGGAAUACCCACCUCUUUCCCAUUUUGGUUCCCUGCUUACUCUUCAAAGACCCAGCUCAAAUGUCCCUCUAUAAAUUCCCAGAGUGGGCAGCCUCUUGCUCUGUACUCUCCAUGAUGUAGUCUAGGAUGGCUAUUUCACAUCUCUUUGUCUUUCUUUAUGUGUUCUGAUCUCUGCCUUUUCAACUAAACUGAACUUUAUGAGGCAGAGUCUAUGUUUUUCAUUUUGUGUACAAUUGCCUUGCAUUGGGCCUGGCAUGUCACAGAUGUCAAUAAAUGUUUGUCAGUUGAAUAAAUGAAAGUGUGUCACUUUUCUGGCUAAUGUCAUAUAUUUUUCAUUUUGCUCUAGGUCUCUAGAAAAGAGCAUCCCUUGAGCGGAGUGGAAUGAACUCAGUUAGUUGCUAUAAAGUCUAUACCUCUUCUAGCCUUUCAGUGAUGAUUCAUUUAUCCAUUCUUUCAUAUAACGCACAGUUGUUGAGCAUUUUCUAUCAGGUGUUUUACUAGCCAUUGAGAAUGAAAAGAUAUCUAGGCCAGAUAUCACAUCAGCUUGUCUUGGAGCCCUUCUAAGAAGGGAAAGGAGCUACAAAAAUCAGACUUGCCGCCUUACAUGAUCUGUGGCACCUGUGAGCCUUCUGGCAGUUUGUUUCUAGGCUCUUCUUUCAGUUUCAGCAAAAACUCAAGUGAGCUAAGGGCAGGACCAGUUGACGUAUCGAUCUAGUUAUAAAUUCUUCUAAAAGGUCCCUCCUGGCUUUGGUAAUGUCUGGGCUCGGACAUCUCUGCAAGGCUGAAUUAUUUCUAGGUCAACCAUUUUGAGGUUCCUUCCUUCCAGAUGAAUGGUUAAAAACUCAGAUAAGAAGUAUUUUUUUAAGUAAUGCAAGGUGGAAAGUGAAUGGCUUUUGUUUAGUUUCAAACCGAUUCCUCAUCUUAGGAAGACAGAAGAGCACAGAUGAUAUCCUGGUGCUGUCGUUUAUUUGUUGUGAAUUUGCUAAUCAAACGCCCACUCCCUUUUCUAUUCCUCUCUGCUCAGCCUUCAGAAGAGUGCUGGCAUCUGACUUAAGCGAAAGGGAGGAGCGAGUUUUCUAAGGUGGCAGAAUGCCAACAUCCCUUUGCCUUCUGUUGUCCUGUGAGGGAUGCCAAGUCAUCUGGUGGCUACUUGUAGCAAAGUAAAGGAUUAUUAAUUGUUCUCUGAUAAUUCUGUCAAGGAUUCUUUAACCCCUUGACUUAAAGUAGCUACGGUAGAGAUAUUAGAAUGACAAACCCAAGGGCACGUAGUAGAAUUAAUAUUCUGCAAAGACCAAAGUUUUGCACAGGUCCCAUUUUACCUGUUUUCACGUCACUCCCGUAUCUCUGGUGAAGUGGACAGGAUGAAUUGAUAGAGUAGCAAAGCGAAGACAAAUGACCACAUCUCUUCCCAGCCACGGGGUGACCCGGGUUGCACAGUAAUGAGAAUAAACAGCAGGCACUCUGAGGCUAAGGAGAGAAAAAUGCUGAUAGAGCACUUGCUUUGAUUGGAUUUAUAAUAUUAUAGGGAGAAAUGGAAAGCGAGAGGGAGAGAUAGGAAGGGGUGAGGCAAUACGGAGUGAGGACGGGAAGACCUAUUUAUGGCUGUUUCGUGGUCAUAACUCAGCUGCUUUGUUUUGCCCACUCAGUGAACUGAACUUCUUCAAUCCUUUUGUUUGACAGCCUCAGGGAAUAAAUUCCUCCUUAAUCCACUUCCUAGGCCCAGCUGAGGUAGUGGGAACAGAGCAGCUUCGCACAGAACCAAUAAGUUCACUUCCCAGAGGCGAAAGGGUAAUUUGUCCUGCCUGUUCACUCCAUCACUGACCUUGCUGUUCUGCGGGUGCCCAGGGUACCAAUUAGUGCUAAUUGCUGCCGAUGGUGGUGAAAGAUUCUGUGACAAGUCUCUGCUGAGAACAGGGCUGACACCUAACUCAUUUCAUGUAGAGCAUGCCCGUGAGACCAGGUACUUAGGGAUAGUACAACAGUAUGGAUGGGCGGGGAAGAAAGAUCCUUGGCAAGAGCACAGGCCUGUCCUGCUACAGUCCACUAACAGCUACUGAAAACCACAAUUAAUGUUUCCAGAAAGAGGAAUUUUGCUAUUGCUUCUCCAGAUCUUACUUUGAUGUGGAAGGAUCCAAAAGUAUCCCCAAAGUAAGAGUCAAUCUAAUUAUAUGUGGAGUACAAAUUCACUGCUUCACUUCUGCCUAGCAAAGCAGCCAGAGAUCUUUAUGCCCAGUGAAAUAAAUUUUUAACAGACUUGCUAUAAUGUGUCAAAGUUUCCUGAAUAAAGUUGAGCGAGUAAGCAUGGCUUUUAAGAUCUUUCAAUGUGAUGGACAAGAAAAUAUCCACGUAGAGAGAAGUAGGGCUGCUUAUUGCAGUUAGCCACAUUAUUGCAUCUGGAAAAUCCUCUCCAUGGGGGAUCAGUGGUCCUGGCAUCACACAUUUAAAUUAAUAUAAAAGAGGUGCUUUGCAUUAGCCAAGAAAAAGUUGAGAGUUUUCUGAUUUGACCACUGUACUCUUGAAAAAGGUAGUUCAUUUCGUAUCUAAAGUAGCCAGAGCUAGCUUCAACAAUUGCCAGCUACCAGUUAUAAAUAGCUUUCCUCUCUGAAACAAAGCCUCAUCUUUCAAAUUGCUACUUUCUUAAGGAAAAAAAAAACCCUGACAUUCUUUUAGCACUCGCCAGCUGUUCCAGAUGUUAUGAUUCCACAUCUAGGGCCACGUUCCGAACUAAAAAUAUAUACAUUAGCUUGACUUCCAACUUCUUCACUAAAGUAACAUCAUAAGUUAUCUUAUUUGUCCCUUUGUUAUGUCCUAGAAGUGUUGGUAAGUAGUUUUUAAGGGGAGAGAGAAUUUAAUCCUCAUUUUUUUCCGUGAAACCUCUUAUGACAAAUAGUAAAUUUCACUCAUAAAAUUGUAACCUAGUCCAUUAGAGUGUAGUCCAGACUUCUUUUUACUUAUACUGAAAAGUAACAAAAUAUCCUAUUGUUAUCAUAUUCACAAAACAAGAGAAAAUAAAUAAAUUGAAUAACAGAAACUUUUGAAAGUGGGACUUAAAAUAAUUUGAUUACAGACAGAUCUUGCUGGUGGUCUGAAAAGACUUGGAUGUUUCCAGAGCCCAUGGAAUCAAACAGUUCCUACUACGGCCACCAGAUGGCCCUAUGAGACCAGAGCUUUUCGUGUAGAUGCUGGCGGUGGUAGUGGUAGUGGCAGUAACUAUAGUUUCAGGAUGGGUUGGGAAUCAGGCAGAAAGCAGCAACCGCCCAGCCUUCACGUUGGCUGCAUCUCCUCCAACAGUUCUCCAUCUCAGACAUUCACCAGCUAGUGUGACAUUUUAAAAAUGGAACUUGGAUGAUCACAUUUUCUUGCUCAAAACUCUCGAAUGGUUUCUCAGUAUGUGUAGAAUAAAUUCCAGACUCCUUAUCCUGGUUUACAAAGCCCUACAUGAUCUGGUACAUAGUUACUGUUCUGACCUUACUGAGGCCCACUCUCCCUCUAAUCUUUUUUUGAGACGGAGUCUUGCUCUGUCGACAGGCUGGAAUGCAGUGGCGCGAUCUCGGCUCACUGCAACCUCCACCUCCCGGGCUCAAGCGAUUCUCCUGCUUCAGCCUCCCGAGUAGCUAGGACUAGAGGCAUGUGCCUCCACACCCGACUAAUCUGUGUAUUUUUAGUGGAGACAGGGUUUCACCAUGUUGACCAGGCUGGUCUGGAAUUCCUGACCUCAGGUGAUCCGCCUGACUCAGACUCCUAAGGUGCUGGGAUGACCGGCGUGAGCCACCGCGCCCGGCUGUCCCCCCUUAAUCUUACUCCAGCCACACAGCCUUUUCGUAUUUCUAUUUGUUUAUUUACUUUAAGUUCUGGGAUACAUGUGCAGAACCUUUUUGUGUUUCUUGAAGGAGCAAAGCUCCUUCAGAACUUGUGCAUUAAUUGUCUCAUUUGCCUCAGAUGCUCUUAUUCAUAUCACCAAAUGACUUAGAUCUUAUCCUUCAGCCCUCAAGUCAACAUCUGUGUAGAGUAAAGCCAUCCAAUCCAAGCAUUAACUCAGCUGCUCUCUGAUCUAUCACUUUAGUUUUCUGACUAAGCCUUAAUCGUGAUUUCUUUCUUCCUUCCCUUACUUUCUUUCCCCUUUUCUUUUCUUUUCCUUUUUUCCUUUCCGCCCUCCCUCCCUUUCUCUGCCUCUUUCUUUCUUUCGCUUUCCUGCCUCCCUCCCUCCCUCUCUCCUUCCUUCCUUCCCUCCCUUCCUUCCUUCCAUCUUCCUAUUUACUUAUCUAAUAUAUGAUCUAUGUAUUAUCAGUUUAUCUCCACUGGAAUGUAAACACCAUGAGAGCAGGAUUUUUUUAAAAAAAGUUCAUUGUUAUUUAUCUCAUCAUCAGGACCAUGGCUGUUCUUGUAUAGAGAAUGAAUAAAUGGAUGUUUGAGAUAUUUGUAAGUCAGGCAUUUAUAGUAGAAGUACGGUACAUCCACAGAUUACUAGCAUUUGGAUAAUUUGUAAUGGUAAAAUUUAUCAUAAAUUAGUUAAGUGUUUUCAUUUUCCAAACAGUUACUGAGCAGUAACUAAGUGCCAGGCAUUGUGAUGGGAACUAGAGAUAACCCAGUGCUGAAUGCUAGCAAGAAAAGUUAUGUUCUGAGAUCUCAGGCUCUAUUCCAAGGGCUUUUACAUAUUAUCUCAUUUAGUACCUACAACAAUAUUCUGAGACAAGUGCUUUAGUCUCUAAUUUCAUUUUACAGAGUAAGAAACAAAUUUAGUCAAGAUAAGUAAUAUACCCAAGAUAACAUGACUGUUGCAUUAUGGAACCGGACUCAACCUGAUAUGACAUAGUCCAUCCUGAAGGAAUCAACAAAGGCAAACAAUGGGACUAGACUCCAUGCAUGUCUGGCAAUAGAAGUAUCAGGCAGAGAUAACGGCAUGAUUAAAGACAUAAAACAAGUUACCAAAAUGUGAACAAGACUAUCAGAAUAGUCCAGAUGUAUCUAACAAAGAACCACAUAGAAUUUCUAGAAAGAAAAAAAUAGUAAUUGAAAUACAAAUCUCAGUGGAUAAGAUAAAGUCUAGCUAGAUUUAAAGAGAGUAGUAAACAGAUGAAGAGAGAAUUUGUGAACUAAAUGAUUGAUCUUAGGAAAUUUCAAGAUUACAGCACAGAAAGAUUAAGUGAUGGAACUAUAUUAAAGAGAGGUUGAGAGAUGUGGACAACAGAAUUAGAAGGCCCGAUAUAUUUCUAGUAGAUAUUCUAGGUGAAAGAAGAAAAAGAAGGGAAAGGCCAAUAGUUAAAGAGUUGAUGGCUAAAACUUUCAGAAAAUUGAUUAAAGCCAUAAAUUGACUAAAUUUCUUUCUUUUUUAAAAAAAAUUCUAUGUUAGGUUCAGGGGUACAUGCACAGGUUUGUUACAUAGGCAAAUUGCAUAUUGUAAGGGUUUGGUGUACAAAUAUUUCAUCACCCCUGUAAUAAGCAUAGCACCUAAUAGGUAGUUUUUCAAUCCUCACCCUCCUCCUACCCUCUGCCCUCAAGUAAGCCCUGGUGUCUGCUGUUCCCUGCUUUGUAUCUCUAUGUACUGAAUGUUUAGCUCCCACUUACAACAAAUAUGCAGUAUUUUGUUUUCUGUUCCUGUGAUAGUUUGCUUAGGAUAAUGACCUCUAGCUCCAUUCAUGUUACUGCAAAGGACAUGAUCUCAUUCUUUUUCUGGCUACAUAGUAUUCCAUAGUGUAUAUGCACCACAUUUUCUGUAUCUAGUCUACCAUUGAUGGGCAUUUAGGAUGAUUCCAUACCUUUGCUAUUGUGAUUAGUGCUGUGAUGAAUUUGCAUGCAUGUGUCUUUAUGGUAGAAUGAUUUAUAUUCCUUUGGGAAUGUACUCAAUAAAUAAUGGGAUUGCUGGGUCAAGUGGUAAUUCUGCUUUGAGUUCUUUGAGAAAUCAUCAAACUGCUUUCCACCGUGGCUGAACUAAUUUACACUCCCACCAGCAGUAUAUGAGCAUUCCCUUUUCACCACAACCCCACCAGCAUCUGUUAUCUUUUGACUUUUUAGUAAUAGCCAUUAUGACUGUUGUGACAUGGUAUCUCAUUGUGGUUUUGGUGUGCAUUUCUCUAAUAAUUAGUGACACUGAGUAUUUUUUCAUAUGCUUGUUGACUGUGUAUGUCUUCUUUUCAGAAUUAUCUGUUCAUAUCCUUUGCCCACUUUUUAAUGGGGUUGUUUUUUUCUUGUAAUUUUGUUUAAGUUCUUUGUAGAUGCUGCAUAUCAGGCUUUGUCAGAUGGGUAGAUUGCAAAAAUUUCUCCCAUUCUGUAGGUUGUCUGUGUACUACUUUGAUAGUUUCUUUUUGCUGUGUAGAAGCUCUUUAGUAUAAUUAAGUCCCAGUUUCAAUUUUUGUGUUUGUUUUGCAAUUGCUUUUGGAGGUUUCAUCAUGAAAUCUUUGCCAGAGCUUAUGUCCAGAAUAGUAUUUCCUAAGUUAUCUUCUAGAGUUUUUAUAGUUUUAAAUUUUGCAUUUAAGUCUUUAAUCCAUCUUGAGUUGAUUUUUGUAUAUGGUGUGAGGAAGGGGUCUAGUUUCAAUCUUUUGCAUAUAGCUAACCAUUUAUUCCAGCACCAUUUAUUGAAUAGAGAGUCCUUUCUCCAUUGCUUGUUUUUGUCACCUUUGUCAAAGAUCAGAUGGUUGUAGGUGUGCAGCAUUAUUUCUGGGCUUUCUAUUCUGUUCCAUUGGUCUAUGUGUUUGUUUUUGUACAAGUAUCAUGCUAUUUUGAUUGUGUAGCCUUGCAGUAUAGUUUGAAGUUGGGUAAUGUGAUACCUCCAGCUUUGUUCUUUUUGCUUAGGAUUACUCUGGCUAUUUGAGCUCUUUUUUGGUUCCAUAGGAAUUUUAAGAUAGUUUUUUUCUACUUCUGUGAAGAAUGCCAUUGGUAGUUUGAUAGGAAUAGCAUUGAAUCUGUAAAUUGCUUUGGGCAGUAUGGCAUUUUAACAAUAUUGAUUAUUCCUAUCCAUGAGCAUGGAAUGUUUUUCCAUUGUUUGUGUCAUCUCUGAUUUCUUUGAGCAGGCUUUGGUAAUUCUCAUUGUAAAGAUCCUUUCACUUCCCUGAUUAGUUGUAUUCCUAGGUAUUUUUUUUUAUGGCUACUGUGAAUGGGAUUGUGUUCUUGAUACAGCUCUCAGCUUGAAUGUUAUUGGUGUAUAGGAAUCCGACUGAUUUUUACAUUGAUUUUGUAUCCUGAGACUUUGUUGAAGUUGUUUAUCAAGUCAAGGAGCUUUUGGAUAGAGACUAUAGGGUUUUCUAGGUGUAGAAUCAUAUUGCAUAAAUUGACUAAAUUUCAUAAAUCAGAUUAAAAAAUGCAACAUGUCCUGAGCUGAAUAAAUAAUUCCACACCUAAACACGUCUUGAUGAACUUCAGAACACCACAGGCAAACAGAUCUUAUAAGCAACCAGAGGAAAAGACAUAGCUCUCCUACAAAAGGAUAACCAUUAAACCAAAAGAAGGCUCAUCAGCCAAAAUAGAUGUUAGAAUAUAAUAGAAUAAUAUUUUCAAAGUGCUGAGGGAAAAUCAUUGUUAAUAAAUAUUCUAUACUUAAACUAUAUUUCAAGAGGCAAAAUAAAAAAAGACACUUAAAGACUGAGUUAGUUUGCCACCAACAAAGUUCUUGAUUGAAAACAUCCUGUGUAAGAGGUGCUUCAGGAAGAAGGAAACUGAACUCAGAAGGAAGGGGUGAGCUGUGAGAAUGAAGGUGAAUGUGCGGCUCCAUGUGUAUAAGCAUCAUCCACGUAAAACCACGGAGGCGGUGACUGUGAAGGGUGGCAAAGUCAAGAUGGAACUCGAUCGCUGCACAACAUAAUAUGUCACAUGGGAAGAGGAUGUCUGUACUUAAAUCACUGUAAAGUCAUCUAAGGUUAGAGACAUUGACAAUCUUCAGACUUUAAGUAUGUUUUUGACUAUGCUGAGGUAAUCAAGAAAAUCUUAAUUUCAGGGUAACUUUGUUUAAAGGGAUGACUUAGCAAUCCAGGCUUCUUCCACUUAGUGAGGCCACUGUCUUUGAUGCACCCACAGCUGCUGUGCAUGCUGCUAACAGCGGAGUGAGUGCAAGAUUGCGGAGGACAUGUGCAGCUAGGCUUGGAAGUGCAGACAUCAGGUGUGGCCUCAUCCUUUGCCAGGUGCCAUUCUCAUCAUCCCAAACUCAUUGCCCUACUUUUGUGUAACUAGAAAUAGGGACAGCUUGUCAAAAUACUAAAACGCUAAACACUAAAAGAAUAGAGGUAGGAUCUGUAGCUUGCAAAUAAGUAGAGGAAAGAAAAAGAAUAAAUAAAACUUGGUGAAAUUGGUGAAAUCAAUAGAAAGCAAAAAGGAGGAAAAAAGCAUAGAAAAAAAUGAAGAGAAAGUGCAAAAUAAAAUAGCAGAAUAAGCACAAUAAAUAACAAUUACAUUAAACUUACCAGUUAUUAUGCAGAGAUUAUCAGAAUAGAUAAGAAACUCUUUACAGUCAAAGGCAAAAACUAAAACACAAAGCCAGCUGGAUGUAAUUUGUAAGGAACAAAUCUAAAAAAGAUUGAAAAGUAAGAAUAUAAAGAAUAUAAAGAAGAUAAAGAUAUACCAGCUAAAUAACCAAAGAAAGCUAGUCUAACCAUAUUCAUUGCAAUAGAUCCUUAAGGCAAAAAACACUGUUAAGGCUGAUGAGGGUUACUACAUUUGGAUAAAAGGAAUAAUUCAGGAGGAAAAUAUAAGAAUUAAGAAGUCUGAACUUUUAGUCACCUAAUAAUGCAGCUUGUAUUUAAACGGCUAAAAUUGUCAUCAUCACAAGGUUAAAUUGACAAAUCCCUGUUGUAGUGAGAGUUUUUUAGCACAUCUGUCAGUGAUCAGUAAAUGAUGCAAAAUAAAAAUUGGUCAGGCUGUAGUAGAUUUGAGCAACACACUUAUUUUACCUGUAUAGAACCUGCUCCCAACAGAAAGAAUACACAUUUAGGAGGAUUCUGCCAUAAUUUUUUCAAGAGAUGAAAUGAACCUCGACCAAAACAAUCACAAUGAAUUAAAAGCAAAGAACUGGAAAAGUAACAGGAUUUGCUAUUUACUAAAUAUGGGAGUUGAGGAGGGAAAAGGUGGAAUGGAAAAUUAUUAAGGCCAGCCGGCUGGAUCGUGAUGCUGUAAACGGUGAGAACAAAAAGGAUUGAGGAGGAAGUUUGGGCAGAGGGGAGGAUGAUGAGUCCAGGGGAGAUCUUUUGAGUUUAAAGUGCAUUUUAUGGAGAAAGCUGAAUAUCAGCUCCCCGGGCUGUUCCAUUUGAAUAAUCUUCUCUGGCUUUCCAUAUACGUGUGUUCAGAAAUAAUAUUGCUGAUUCAUCCGUAUUUAAUAGAUAACUCUUAGUGGAAAUGCUACUUGAUCAAUCAGGUAAUACUUAGGGGGCUUAUGUUGGAACAGCUAAUUUUAUUAUGCACUAUUUAUUAUUAAUUGAUUAGGGCUCUUAAGUGGGUAAGAGCUUUUCCUUUCAAGUGGGUUAUAGAAGUAACUAUUGAUGCCCUAAAGCUGAUCUAUAAGAUGAAUCAGAUAAUAAUAAUAAGAAGAAGCUAUCAUUUGUAAGUAUGUACAAGCUCUUCCACAUAUGCUAUUAUUAUUUUCACAGCAAGGCCAGGAGGUAGAUAGAAUAGGAUAUAUAUUACUAUACUGAUUUUGCAGAUGAGGAAAUUGAAGAUAAAAUCACACAAGUGUAUUCUCUGACCUUCAAAUCCUGUUGGUUUUAUAAUUUAGACUUUCCAAGAUGGUUGCAGCCUGAAAAGGUUGAAAUGAAAAAAACAGCCACUUCUGUUUUUCUUUGGUGCUUAAUUCAGGGUGCUUUGCUCCCCAUCUUAUCUCUUGCCCCGGGCUUGCUGUUUUGAGGUCUUUAUUUCUCAGGAGGCUUUUUU